rnacentral:rRNA from 1 species
UACGUAGGGUGCGAGCGUUGUCCGGAAUUAUUGGGCGUAAAGAGCUCGUAGGCGGUGUGUCACGUCGAUCGUGAAAACUUGGGGCUUAACUCUGAGCUUGCGGUCGAUACGGGCAUCACUGGAGUUCGGCAGGGGAGACUGGAAUUCCUGGUGUAGCGGUGAAAUGCGCAGAUAUCAGGAGGAACACCGGUGGCGAAGGCGGGUCUCUGGGCCGAUACUGACGCUGAGGCGCGAAAGCUAGGGGAGCAAACGGG